GGUUCCGUAGUGUAGCGGUUAUCACGUCUGCUUUACACGCAGAAGGUCCCAAUUGGGCGGAACCA